rnacentral:rRNA from 1 species
AACGAACGCUGGCGGCAGGCUUAACACAUGCAAGUCGAACGAUCUCUUCGGAGAUAGUGGCAGACGGGUGAGUAACGCGUGGGAACCUACCUUUAAGUACGGAACAACAGUUGGAAACGACUGCUAAUACCGUAUGUGCCCUACGGGGGAAAGAUUUAUCGCUUAAAGAUGGGCCCGCGUUGGAUUAGCUAGUAGGUGAGGUAAUGGCUUACCUAGGCGACGAUCCAUAGCUGGUCUGAGAGGAUGAUCAGCCACACUGGGACUGAGACACGGCCCAGACUCCUACGGGAGGCAGCAGUGGGGAAUAUUGGACAAUGGGCGCAAGCCUGAUCCAGCCAUGCCGCGUGUGUGAUGAAGGCCUUAGGGUUGUAAAGCACUUUCAGCAGUGAAGAUAAUGACAUUAACUGCAGAAGAAGCCCCGGCUAACUUCG